GCGGAGGAAAAGAAACCAACAGGGAUUGCCUCAGUAACGGCGAGUGAAGCGGCAAAAGCUCAAAUUUGAAAUCUAGCACCUUCGGUGUUCGAGUUGUAAUUUGAAGAUGGUAACCUUGGGUUUGGCUCUUGUCUAUGUUCCUUGGAACAGGACGUCAUAGAGGGUGAGAAUCCCGUCUGAUGAGAUGCCCAUUCCUAUGUAAGGUGCUAUCGAAGAGUCGAGUUGUUUGGGAAUGCAGCUCUAAGUGGGUGGUAAAUUCCAUCUAAAGCUAAAUAUUGGCGAGAGACCGAUAGCGAACAAGUACAGUGAUGGAAAGAUGAAAAGAACUUUGAAAAGAGAGUGAAAAAGUACGUGAAAUUGUUGAAAGGGAAGGGCAUUAGAUCAGACUUGGUGUUUUACGAUUAUCUUCUCUUCUUGAGUUGUGCACUCGUAUUUCACUGGGCCAGCAUCGAUUCGGAUGGCAAGAUAAUGGCAGUUGAAUGUGGCUUCACUUCGGUGGAGUGUUAUAGCUUCUGCUGAUAUUGCCUGUCUGGAUCGAGGGCUGCGUCUUUUGACUAGGAUGCUGGCGUAAUGAUCUAAUGCCGCCCGUC
rnacentral:rRNA from 1 species